rnacentral:tRNA from 1 species
GGGCGGUUAGCUCAGUUGGUAGGGCAUGUCGUUUACACCGUUAGGGUCGGCGGUUCGAGCCCGUCACCGCCCACCA